rnacentral:rRNA from 1 species
ACGGAAGGCAGCAGUGGGGAAUAUUGCACAAUGGGCGUAAGCCUGAUGCAGCGAUGCCGCGUGAGGGAAGAAGGUUUUCGGAUUGUAAACCUCUGUCAACAGGGACGAAAAUGACGGUACCUGUGAAGGAAGCUCCGGCUAACUACGUGCCAGCAGCCGCGGUAGUACGUAGGGAGCAAGCGUUAUCCGGAAUUACUGGGUGUAAAGGGAGUGUAGGCGGGACUGUAAGUCAGAUGUGAAAUAUGCCGGCUCAACUGGCAGACUGCAUUUGAAACUGCGGUUCUUGAGUGAAGUAGAGGUAAGCGGAAUUCCUAGUGUAGCGGUGAAAUGCGUAGAUAUUAGGAGGAACAUCAGUGGCGAAGGCGGCUUACUGGGCUUUAACUGACGCUGAGGCUCGAAAGCGUGGGGAGCAAACAGGAUUAGAUACCCUGGUA